rnacentral:lncRNA from 1 species
AGCAGCAACCCACUCGGGUUCCCUUCCAUGCUGUGGAAGGUUUGUUCUUUCACUCUUCACAAUAAAUAUUGCUGCUGCUCACUCUUUGGGUCUGCACUACCUUUAUGAACUGUAACACUCACUGCAAAGUUCUGCGGCUUCACUCCUGGAGUCAAGCGAGACCACGAACCCACUGGAAGGAAGAAACUCUGGACACAUCUGAACAUCUGAAGGAACAAACUCUGGACACACCAUCUUUAAGAACUGUAACGGCCGGGCACGGUGGCUCACGCCUGUAAUCCCAGCACUUUGGGAGGCCAAGGCAGGCAGAUCAUGAGGUCAGGAGAUCAAGACCAUCCUGGUUAACACGGUGAAACCCCGUCUCUACUACAAAAAGAAAAUACAAAAAAUUAGCCGGGCAUGAUGGUGGGUGCCUGUAGUCCCAGCUACUCGGGAGGCUGAGGCAGGAGAAUGGCGUGAACCCGGGAGUUGGAGCUUGCAGUGAGCUGAGACUGCGCCGCUGCACUCUGGCCUAGGCAAAAGAGCGAGACUCUGUCUCAAACAAACAAACAAACAAACAAAAGAACUGUAACACUCACUGCGAGGGUCCGCGGCUUCAUUCUUGAAGUCAGUGAGACCAAGAACCCACUGGAAGGAACCAAUUCCAGACAUAUUUUGGUGACCCAGAUGGGACUGUCGCCUAUCACCAAGUGAAUCAAGGCCAUGAAGCUACAGAUGGUCUUACAAAUGGAACCCCAAAUGAGCUCAACUAACAACUUCUACUGAGGACCCCUGGACCGACCCACUGGCCCUUUCACUGGUCUAAAGAGUUCCCCUCUGGAGGACACUACAACUGCAGGGCCCCUUCUUUGCCCCUCUCUGGCAGGAAGUAGCUAGAGCGGUCAUCGUCCAAUUCCCAAAAGCAGUUGUAUGCUAGACAUGGGCUAUAGAUUGGUGAAUAAAAAAGACACUGCACCUACCCUGACGGAGAAUUGAAUCUAAUGAGGCAGACAAUAAAAUAAACAAAUAAACAUGUAAUUAUAAAGUGUGAUAAAUGCUACAAUGUAGAAGAAUAAGGUACCAUGAGAGAAUAACAAGAAGAACCUACUUCAGAGAAAGAGAAAUGACUGUUAAUCUCAUGUGUGAAGAGUAAAAUGGAGCCAGCUAUGCAAAGAAGGGAAUGAGGUGGGGACAGCACACUAUACUGAUGAAUUUAAUUUUUUUUAAAGAGACAGAGUCUUGCUAUGUUGCCCAGACUGGACUUGAAUCCUGGGCUUAAGGGAUCCUCCCACCUCAGUCUCCCAAGUACCUGGGACUACAGGCAUGCACCACUGCACCUGACUUGAAUUUUAUUUUUAUUUUGUUUUUUUAAUAUAAAAUUUAAAUAUGAAGUAAAUAUGAAUUUUAAUAUUAAGUAUUUUAUAUAAAAUUUAAAUAAUUCAGUAAUAAAAUACUCAUUUAAUCAAAACCAAAUAACCCUAAAAUAUAUGAAGUAAAAAAUGACCACUUUUUGCCUGUCACCCUGCAAAAUAUUGCAUUAUCUGGGAAGAAGUACGGUUAACAGAUUGGUGUGUUUGAAUAAUUCUCAACUGAUCAUUUCCCAGCUGUGAAAGAAUACAAACUGUAAGGAUCUUCCUUUGGAAAGAAUAAGAAAAUUGACACCAAAGUAACAAAGGCAGCAGAUGACUAAUGUCAGAACAUCUUUGCAAUAUCUUAGUAUGCUUCCAGUUGCAUAAUAAUUUGCAUCUGUGAAUAAUCAGUGGAAAUAAAGGUCUUCGCCAUCUGCCUUGGAAUAAUCACAUUCCCAGAUCUUUUAGAAAUUUACUUGAAAUAAAGUUUAUAACUUAUCUUUCUAACAAUCAAUAGAGCUGGUAAAAAUUGUUUUACUGCUUGAUUUGGCAGCUCAAAUUUCAAUUUUGAGUCAUUCAAAUUGCCUUUGCUUUUGCUCACAUUUGAUUGAUUUUGCAAUAAUGGUAAAUACAAAAGUGGGUACACAAGGCAUAUCACAUUACUAAAUAACAAACAGAUGAUAUUCAGAAUAUCUAAUCUAUAGUACUCUGUAUUUCACUAGAUCUAAAAUAUACUUGAAGACAGGCUAGAUUUAUCUUAAAAGUGUACAAAUGUCAAUUACGGACUCAAUUACAGACCCAUGAGGAAAAAAUACAUCCAGAUUUCUAAAGUAGAGAAUGCUGGGCUACCUCAGCUUCAUGAGAAAUGUGAAGCAUUUCACGACUAUGAGUCGUUUAUUUCCUAACAUAGAGUGGUACGUGCAGUAAGCCUGAAUUACCGGGAAUUCUGGGUCUCAGGGGAAGCUCAACCACACAUAAAGAGAAAUUGUGGUCCAGAGACACAUGCCCUCAGCGCCCUAAGAAAAAAUAUCCAAAAUGCUUUACUUCUUUAACUGUUUAAAGAAUUGUGAAAUAUAACACAUAUGUAGAAAAAGUGAUAAAAAUCUAAAGAUGUAUUUAAUAAGUGUCAUCUGUGUGAUUAUGAACCAGAUCAAGAAACCAAUUAUCAACACCCCAGAAGCUUCCAGGUGUUCCUUCUCUUCCCAAUCCCCCUUUUUCCCUCAAAGGUUACCUCUUGCCUUUUAUGGUUAUCACCCCUUACCUUUUCUUAUACUGUAAUCACCUACUUAUGUAUUUCUAAACACUAGAAUGUAGUUAUGCUUAAUUUUGAAUUUUAUAUAAAUUAAAUAACACUGUAUAUAUUUUUGUGUGUCUGGC